rnacentral:rRNA from 1 species
GAUGAACGCUGGCGGCGUGCCUAAUACAUGCAAGUCGAGCGAACGGACGAGAAUCUUGCUUCUCUGAUGUUAGCGGCGGACGGGUGAGUAACACGUGGAUAACCUACCUAUAAGACUGGGAUAACUUCGGGAAACCGGAGCUAAUACCGGAUAAUAUUUUGAACCGCAUGGUUCAAAAGUGAAAGACGGUCUUGCUGUCACUUAUAGAUGUAUCCGCGCUGCAUUAGCUAGUUGGUAAGGUAACGGCUUACCAAGGCAACGAUGCAUAGCCGACCUGAGAGGGGGAACGGCCACAGUGGGAGUGAGACACGGUCCAGACUCCUACGGGAGGCCGCAGUAGGGAAUCUUGCGAAAUGGGCGGAAGCCUGCAGGAGGAACGCCGCGUGAGUGAUGAAGGUCUUCGGAUCGUAAAACUCUGUUAUUAGGGAAGAACAUAUGUGUAAGUAACUGUGCACAUCUUGACGGUACCUAAUCAGAAAGCAACGGCUAACUACGUG